UAGGAGAGCGUGUAGAAUGAGAAGAGUAAGGGGCUAAGGACAAAACCCUGGUUGAUGGGGUUUAGUGAGUUAGGCAGAGGGAGAGACCAUGAGGAAACGGAGAAGGGGUUAGAGAGACAAAGAACAGUGAGAGUGGCUUGUCACAGAAGCCAGGGGAAUAAAGAGGCUCUAGAAGGCUUUUUUCGGGGGAGGGGGAUUUAAGAGAUUUAAAAUACAGACUUUCAGGGGCACCUGGGUGGCUGUCGGUGAAGCGUCUGACUCUUGAUUUUGGCUCAGGGCAUGAUCUCACGGUUUGUGAGUUCAAGCCCCAAGUUGGGCUCUGCCCUGGCAGUAAGGAGCCUGCUUGGGAUUCUGUCUCUCCCUCCCUCUGCCCCACCCUCGUGCGAGCGUUCUCCCUCUCUCUCUCUUUCAAAAUAAAUAAACUUUCUCCACAGCCUGAGAGCCCUGUGACACUGUUGGGUGAGUCUUGGUUAUGCUGUGCUAAUAAACCCCAAAACUCAACAGGCAUACUACAGAGUUUAUUUCUCACUGACCCUGUGUGUCCGUUGCAGGUUCGCUGGGGCACGUGCUCCACGUUGUCCUCAUCUAGCUGACAGGAGCCAUCAACUGGCCCAUUGCCUGUUGCCGUGGGAGAGGGAGACAGUUGUGGAGGGUCUUCUACAAACACAUGUUCCGGUUUCAAAGUGACCUGCCACUUCCUCUCACAGUUCACUGGUUAGGACUGGAUACGCCUUCCUGCUAAACAGAGUGCAAGGGGGCCUGGCAGGAUGGGAGUCUGCAGAUGGAAGGUCAAACCAAAUGUUGAAAGUCUUCAGCAAUAGGUACUUCCUUCGGUUGGAUGAAUAGUAGUACUUCUGGUCACACGUGAACUUCCCUGGGCUUGGGAGGGGCCGCUCUUACCUGUCAGAUGACGAGAAGAGGGUGGGCCCGUCAGUAGUCCCCUCUGCUGUUGAAGGUGGUUUCCUGUUUGAAAGAGAUUUCUCUGGUGUGUGCGUUUGUGUCGGUUUGUGUAUGGGUGUUUUAGGCCAGCGUUCAGUGAGUUUUUGGUCUAGUUACAGGGGAGAGGGUGGUGAGAAAAAUAUAAACAGGUAAGAGAUGAAACAUUCAACUAAUAUUUGAGCACCUCCUGUAAUGUUUUGGAAUUCUUAACAGCUUUAUGGAAGUACGUUUUACAAAUAAAAUGACUCAAAUCAAGGGAUUUAUAAA